rnacentral:rRNA from 1 species
GACGAACCGAGCGAACGUUGUUCGGAAUCACUGGGCUUAAAGGGCGCGUAGGCGGGUGAUCAAGUCCGGGGUGAAAUCCUCCAGCUCAACUGGAGAACUGCCUCGGAUACUGGUUGCCUCGAGGAAGGUAGGGGUGUGUGGAACGUUCAGUGGAGCGGUGAAAUGCAUUGAUAUUGAACGGAACUCCGGUGGCGAAGGCGACACACUGGACCUUUUCUGACGCUGAGGCGCGAAAGCUAGGGGAGAAAACGGG